rnacentral:misc_RNA from 1 species
UUGAAAUAAACCUGAUGGGUUGUUGCUGGUUCUCUAGGGAGCAUGUGCACGCCUUGUCAUCUUUAUAUCUCCACCUGUGCACCUUUUGUAGACCCUUUUUUUUUUGGGUCUAUGUUGCUUCAUUUACCCCCAAUGCAUGUUAAUAGAAUGUUGUGCCUAUAAAAUUUAUA